UGUCUUCCAUUGUCGCAAAACUGUAGUUUUAUUGCAUUAUUAAUAGACAUCAAUAUAUUAUUUUGGGUGAUUGCUCUAGUGAUUGGCUUUCGAUGUUUUGUGCUUUUGGUUUUUGUUUCUCUACUUAAUUAUGAUAUUGCUAAUGUUUAGAUAGUUGUAACUGGAUUAAGUUUAAUUAUUCAAUUUGGUUCUAGUUUACUCUCUCUGUCUUUUCUUCCUUGCAGGAUUAGGUUUUAAUUUCUGGUUGGCAUUUUUGGCCAUUGGGUAAAACUUUCUCCUAACUUCAUUUGGUUCUUGUAACGUACAUAGCUUCUUAUUUUCAUUGCUUGCUUUUCUUGAUAUUUAUAAUACGUGACUUAAAAGAAGGUGAAUAGUGAUAACUUUUUAAAAGAGAGAUAUAAGGUGAAUAGUGAUAAUUUUCUAAAAGAGAGAUAUAAGGUGAAUAGUGAUAACUUUCUAAAAAAGAGAUAUACUUUUCUUGUUUUGAAGUUCUAAUCUUGUACUCUAUAAAUUACUGUGUGUGAAAGAAGGAAAUGAAGUUCCUGCGGCUUGAUUUUAAUCUAUAUUUUAAUAGUUUCUUGUUUCAAUCCAAAAUUUGUUUCAUGAUCCACUUGGGAUGAGUGAAAUGAGGAAGUAAAAUUGCAUGCAUUUGCUUAGUUGUCUUCUUUAUUCUGCAUAACCCUUUGUGGAAUCUGUUUAACCUUCUACAUUACUCUAAGAUAUAGUUGUUGUUGGAAAUGCUUUGUAGCUUUAAUCAAUAGUCAGAAUCUUCUGAAGGUACACAUAUUGGCUGUACACUUGGUUUGACUUUCCUUUUUUCAUCUUUCUGUAGUUUGACUCUAUAGUUUUUAUCAAUACUCCUUUUGGGUUACAGCAAAUAAAUCUAAUCAUAAAAGCAUCCAAUUGAGAGAAGUGAAAAGAGCCUCAAGUGCCACAAUGGAUUUUGGCAUAUAUUGGCUAUGUCAUGUUCUGUAUUACACCAGCCUGGGUCAAUUGCAGUAUAAUAAUGCUAAUUGUGAAGGUUAGCUAGCUGCAAAUUGAUUUGUGUUGUUAGGCGCUUUAUUAAGAAGAACAAGAAAUCGAUUGCCUGUGGUUUAUUUAUUUAUAUCAUAUGUGUUAAUUUUCUUUUUCUGGGA